CAGCAGCCGCGGGAACACAGAGGGUGCGAGCGUUAAUCGGAUUUACUGGGCGUAAAGCGUGCGUAGGCGGCUAAUUGAGUCGGAUGUGAAAUCCCCGAGCUUAACUUGGGAAUUGCAUUCGAUACUGGUUAGCUAGAGUGUGGGAGAGGAUGGUAGAAUUCCAGGUGUAGCGGUGAAAUGCGUAGAGAUCUGGAGGAAUACCGAUGGCGAAGGCAGCCAUCUGGCCUAACACUGACGCUGAGGUACGAAAGCAUGGGGAGCAAACAGGAUUAGAUACCCCCGUAGUCCCUGUCUCUUAUAA
rnacentral:rRNA from 1 species